CUAAACAUAGAACCGCAUCAGCCUCCUCUGCAGUAUAAACAGACCCAGGCUCCUGCUCCAGUCCCUUCUUGGCUGUGAAUUGAGGGGCAGUAAGGAGCAGCGUCUGCCCCACCCCGAGGCCCUGGCUGCCCUUGCCACUAGCAGUCUGCGCUCAGGACGGGUGGGGCUGAGGAGCAGACGAGGAUUCGUCUGCUCAGCCCAGCACCAGACACACUGGGCUACCUGCGUGGCCAGACUGGGCAGCAGUGCAAGUUUGUCUCAGAAAUCCAGUUCUUCCUGGAACUGAGUGUCACUUCAGGACAGUGGAUGCCAGGAGUCAACUUGGCCCUGGAGCAACUGAAACUCUUCCAGUCCUGCCUGAGACGGCAGAUCGCUCGGCUUGGGCCGUGGGCCUGAGCGGAGAUUGCAGUUGCGUGAGGAGCUUCUGGAAGCCCCACCAGGGGGCGCCCUCCCCGCGUCUUGAGGUGUUUCUUCACUGAGAAAGUUAUGAAGCUUUUGUUCUCAAUUCUGAGCUUCUUUUUGGGUAUGCAGCAGGUACACCUUAUGCCAAGACCCUUGACUUCAGGGAAUGAAUGACUUAUGAAGGACACCUGGACCCUGUCCUUCUCUGACCAGUUCCUGGAUGCCUAAGAGGAAACAUACACCAGAUCACAGUUGUCAGUAAAAAUACCACACCCAAGCAAAGAUGAGACUCAUGCUUUUUCCUUUCCAAGUCUCCCAGACCUUCUUCCCUCUCUCUCUCCAUAUAUAUAUAUGUAAUAUAUAUAUAUAUAU